rnacentral:lncRNA from 1 species
UCUAAGAUUCCUAGGAAUUAACUUAAUGUUCUUUUGUCUUCACAGUUCAUUCAAACCAUCUGCAAAGUUUUGAAAUGAACAAAGGGAAGGAGAACAGCAAUGCAACACAUGUUUUCUGGGAAGUACCGAGGUGCUUCUGUGGCCUGAUUUCCAGAGUUUGCUGAGCAUCAGCACGAUCCCAUUAGGGGCUGGAGAGUGAUGGAAAUAGAGGCAUUAAGCCCUGAGCCACCAGGCGGGCAGGAGUGCUGAAAUGAAAAAGUUAUGUUUAGA